GCAUAUCAAUAAGCGGAGGAAAAGAAACCAACAGGGAUUGCCCCAGUAACGGCGAGUGAAGCGGCAACAGCUCAAAUUUGAAAUCUGGCCCUCGGGUCCGAGUUGUAAUUUGUAGAGGAUGCUUUUGGCGAGGUGCCUUCCGAGUUCCCUGGAACGGGACGCCAUAGAGGGUGAGAGCCCCGUCUGGUCGGACACCGAGCCUCUGUAAAGCUCCUUCAACGAGUCGAGUAGUUUGGGAAUGCUGCUCAAAAUGGGAGGUAUAUGUCUUCUAAAGCUAAAUAUUGGCCAGAGACCGAUAGCGCACAAGUAGAGUGAUCGAAAGAUGAAAAGCACUUUGAAAAGAGGGUUAAAAAGUACGUGAAAUUGUUGAAAGGGAAGCGCCUAUGACCAGACUUGCGCCCGGUGAAUCAUCCAGCGUUCUCGCUGGUGCACUUUGCCGGGCACAGGCCAGCAUCAGUUUGGCGCGGGGGAAAAAGGCUUCGGGAAUGUGGCUCCCUCGGGAGUGUUAUAGCCCGCUGCGUAAUACCCUGCGCCGGACUGAGGUACGCGCAUCGCAAGGAUGCUGGCGUAAUGGUCAUCAGCGACCCGUCUUGAAACACGGACCAAGGAGUCGUCUUCGUAUGCGAGUGUUCGGGUGUCAAACCCCUACGCGUAAUGAAAGUGAACGUAGGUGAGAGCUUCGGCGCAUCAUCGACCGAUCCUGAUGUUCUCGGAUGGAUUUGAGUAAGAGCAUACGGGGCCGGACCCGAAAGAAGGUGAACUAUGCCUGUAUAGGGUGAAGCCAGAGGAAACUCUGGUGGAGGCUCGCAGCGGUUCUGACGUGCGAAUCGAUCGUCAAAUAUGGGCAUGGGGGCGAAAGACUAAUCGAACCUUCUAGUAGCUGGUUUCCGCCGAAGU
rnacentral:rRNA from 1 species